rnacentral:rRNA from 1 species
AGCUCCAAUAGCAUAUAUUAAAGUUGUUGCAGUUAAAAAGCUCGUAGUUGAAUUUGUGGUUUCUCCUGGAGUCCAUUGUGGAUACUCUAGGAGUUACCAUCAUUGGGUGAUACCAGUCUGGCAUUAGGUUGUUCGGGCAGGCUACUCCCAUCUUUUACUGUGAAAAAAUUAGAGUGUUCCAAACAGGCUUAUGCUGUUGAAUAUGUUAGCAUGGAAUAAUGAGGUAGGGCUUUGGUACUAUUUUGUUGGUUUGUGCACCAAAGUAAUGAUCAAUAGGGACAGUUGUGGGUAUUUGUAUUCCAUUGUCAGAGGUGAAAUUCUUGGAUUUUUGGAAGACAAACAACUGCGAAAGCAUUUACCAAGGAUGUUUUCA